UUCGUGGAUCCAUUGCUGUCGUCGCGGAUCCACCUCUUCCUCCUCCGUUGCUGCCCCUCCGCCCCACCUGCCGGCAUCGACCUCAUCCAGCACGCCUACCUGGUCGGGGCCCCUGACUCGUCGUCCGCCAUCGUCGCCGGGGCAGGGAGUGUCCGCGGCCGCGGCACGGGCCGCGAGGCUUUCCUUCCGCAACCGAUGAGAUGGUAAGAAAAGUUGAUGUGAGCGGUGGAAAUUGAUGUUUCCUUUGGUCUUGCGUUGUUUCCCGCUUGUGUUUUUGUGCUUUUACAGGUCCCUUUGGUGAGGACGUGGAUGGAAGUCCUUCCUCCAGGGAUCGACGUUUUCAGGGCAGAAGGAAGAGCUCUCCUCCUAUCGACGGGCAAGAUGGAUGCACCCAGUAUUUGAUGGAGAACAAUGAUUUCAUGGUGAUUGGGAUAAUCGGUCCACCUGGUCUGGCAAGUCAACCACCGCGAACGAGCAUUAUGGAUACGACACAAGCUCCCCCUUAACUGCAUUCAUAUACUCAUAUGGUUCCAUUGUACUUAAAUUGCGGUUCCCUUUUUACUUAUACUAUGGUUCCUUCUACCUUUUGUCUUGCCAGUAACCAAUAAUUGAUCAAUAUUUUCUGCCGCUCUGGCGUUUUCUUGGUAUCUGUCUAUGAUAUUUUGCUGGUCUUAUCAGAACGGAAUAAUGAUUUUGCCAUGUGGGAGCCCAUGCUUACAGUAAGUUGUCUGGCUAUAAUUUCUAUGUACACACUUCUUUAGGGAAUUAUAAUCAUUUGUUUCUGGUAGUGUAUCUCAUUGGACUUGAUGCAUUAUGUUCUAACAUUAUGAGAAUGGAAUUGUUCCAUUAUAUGGUACUAAUGAAAACGUUUGGCAUUAAUCUGUGUUUAUCUAACUAAAAUAUGGUGACUCCACCCUAUGGCUAAAAGUGAUAUUUGCCAAUAUUGUGGAAAGCUAAAAUGAGUGUUGUACUGUAUUUUUACAUGUUACUUUGCUGAAGUGACAUAGCAGACCCAUCAUUUUAAUCUUCAUUAUCUUCACCGAACAAGGGAAAAUAAAAUUGAUAACCUCAUCAGGCAGUGAAGAUUGCAUGGCCAGUCUCUGUUUUGUGCAUGCUAGGUGAGCAUCAUGAACUGUUAUACUUGCCUUACGAGUAUUUUUCCUUCAAUCAGAUUCUCACUUAUAUUUCUGUGAAUAAAUAAAUCUUUUCAUUUUCUUGUUGGGAAAAAAGUCCCUGUAAUCUUUCCCGCCACAGCCUAAUGUGGGCUGCAUGCCUUAGCAUGUGCCUGAUCCUUACAGAGUUUGAGGGCAGCUACUAGACUUCAUGAUUUGGCAAAUAUAUAUUUAAGGGUGAAUAAGGACAUUUAAUCAUUUCAUAUACCAUGAACAUCAUAAAAAACAGAUUGAGCAUGUGGAGAUAUUUAAGUGUGCAUAUUUGAUACAUUUUCCUUUUGUUGAUCAUUUGCUUCAUGCUUGUUCUGCGGAUUGGAGUUUGUUCUCAAAGAAGGAGACACUGAUCGCUAGCGAAACAUAUGACCAAGAGUCCCCAGGACCUACAUCAUCGACUAAUAACCAGCCUCAAACACCUGCCCAGGUCAGCUAUCUUUCUCAAACCAGUAUUUUUUGGUUUGAUCAUUCGCCAUGUCAUGUGAUUUUGAUUUAAUUGAUAGGUUGUUUAUUCCUUUGAUCAGUAUAAACAGGUUAUAAGUUUUGAGUCUAAGGUAUACCCCUAAUGCCACUUUACAUGCUGUUGAAAACUACAGGCUGCUCCAGCAGUAGUGAGGAUGCCUUGCAGUAUGAUACUUGAUACCAUGCUAACAGAAUUAUGAUUACCAAAGGCUGAAUAACGCCGGGAAAUAUAUGGCGGUAGCAAGGUCUGAGUCAGUCUUUUUAGCACUCCUAUGCUACUUCAUGAUAGUGAAUCUACCCAUGCAUCCAUAUCUGGAGUCCUCUUCAUAUGAUGAUGCAGAAGAGCACAUUGCUGCUAUUGAAGCCAAAGGUGUUUGGAAAACACAGCUAAUAUAGAGAUCUGAGACUACAAUUAAAACCAUAGGAAGCACCUCCAGGACUAGAAUGAGCAGCUCAUGCAGCUACUCAACAUAGUGAAUGUGAGCUGCUCAUUCUGGUUCUAGAGGCGCUUCCUACGGUUAAUCUUGGUAGGGCCGACACACUAUAAAUUAAUUAGCCUUGUCUUCAUUGCAGAAUUGAAAUCAUCUUAAAUUCAAAUUUCAUCUUUUAAUUGACUCUUCCAUAUCUCGAUCAGAAGACCUUGAGUGGGGGUGGAGGCUGGAUUGUGAGCCAGAUGCCCCAUCAACAGGGGCGGUAAAGGAGAAGAAGAUAGUUGUUUAACGGUAUGGUUAUGUGUUUAGGGAAUUAUAAUCAUUUCUUUCUGGUAGUGUAUCUCAUUGGACUUGAUGCAUUAUGUUCCAACAUUUUGAGAAUGGAAUUGUUCCAUUAUAUUCUACUAAUGAAAACGUUUGGCAUUAAUCUAUGUUCAUCUAACUAAAAUAUGGUGACUGCAUCCUAUUGCUGAAGUGACAUACUAGACCCAUCAUUUUAAUCUUCAUUAUCUUUUCCGAACAAGGAAAAAUAAAAUUGACAACCUCAUCAGGCAGUGAAGGCAUGGCCAAUCUCUAUUUGUGAAUGCUAGGUGAGUAUCAUGAACUGUUAUACUUGCCUUAGGAGUAUUUUUCCUUGAAUCAGAUGCUCACUUAUAUUUUUGUGAAUAAAUAGAUCUUUUCAUUUUCUUGUUGGAAAAAAAGUCCCUGUAAUCCUUCCCGUCACAGCCUAACGUGGGCUGCAUACCUUAGCAUGUGCCUGAUCCUUACAGAGUUUGAGGGCAGCUACUGGACUUCAUGAUUUGGCAAAUAUAUAUCUAAGGGUGAAUAAGGACAUUUAAUCAUUUCAUAUACCAUGAACAUCAUAAAAAGCAGAUUGAGCAUGUGAAGAUAUGUAAGCGUACAUAGUUGGAUACAUUUUCCUUUUGUUGAUCAUUUGCUUGAUGCUUGUUCUGCGGAUUGGAGUUUGUUCUCAAAGAAAGAGACACUGAUCGCUGGCGAAACAUAUGACCAAGAGUCCCCAGGACCUACAUCAUCGACUAAUAACCAGACUCAAACACCUGCCCAGGUCAACUAUCUUUCUCAAACCAGUACUUUUUGGUUCGAUCAUUCGCCACAUCAUGUGACAUCGCAUGGGGCAUCAGUAGCAACCCACACACUAACGCAAGGAUGUAAAGAUGGGUACUACCAUUUACAUUCCAGCCAAAAGACCUCACCUCAUUUCUCCAAACUGUGAGUAUUGUUGUCCUGUAAAUUUCUUGGGUGUGCACCAAGCGUUAGAUGAAUUGCCUUCAAGAACCUCAUGGUCAACUGCAUGUGCCCUUUGUGUCUGCAACUGCAUACUUGCUGUCUGAAAUUCAUCACGAGUUAGGCUUUAGGAGAAAAUAUUUCCUUGAGAAUUUUAGAGAUAAAUGACAGAAUUUUGGUGCUACUAAGAAAGGAUAUGUUACUUUUAGAGCUUUGUGUUUGCCUGAUUAUGCGAACUGAUACAUACUACCUAGAAGUUCAACAGUCAAGAUCCAAUGUAAAUGGUAGUAAUUGAGGAUCUCAAAAAUAGGCAUCGCAAAAAUCUGUCAAAAAUGACAACGCUUGGCCAAAAGGCUAAAGAAGAAAACCUGUAGAUUCUUUUGGUUUGCCGAUUCCAAGCUGAGUGAAAAAAAAAUAUUUACACGUUACUGAUUCAUGUACUUCUAGAAGUAAUGUUAGUGGAAAAUUUGCACAACCAUCAUGAUUUGGUACUGUUCACGUGCCCCUUGAAUUCGAUGAGUACACUGGUUGGUUAAAAAAUGAUAACAUUGUUUUCUUCAUAGUGGUUAUGUUUCUCUAUAUUUUCUACUUCAUCUUAAUCCUAGAGUUGUAAGAUUGUACAAAAUAUUCUUCGAUCAUUUUGGGCCAUAAACUUCCCAUCCUGCUAUUCUUUCUAUAGGGCAUGCAAUUCUGUUCGGCCGCUGCUACGAAUCAGCUAGAUCAUCCGCCUGUUCAACCGUCAGAUCCGUGUCCUGGGGCCGUUGGAUCACAACAACGCCACGACAGCAGCGCAUCGCGGCAGCUUCACAACGCCAUUGCUACCCCGCGCGGUUCUUGAACGCAACACCGACGACGUCCUGCGAGCUCCAUUGCAGCCCCGGCGGAGCUCCAUUGCAGCCCCGGCGGAGCUCCAACACAGCGCCGACGCUCCGGCGAAGCUCCAUUGCAACUCUGGACGAGCUCCACUAUAGCCAUGACGUGUCCGGCGAGACUCCAAUGCAGCACCGCCGGCUCCGGUGAAGCUCCAAUGCAACGUAUGAGUGACGCUCAUGGCAGCACCGGUGUCGUGAUGAAGCUCCACAGCAGCCGGAGUUGAGGAGAGAUGCCCCGUCGCAACAGCAGCUCCGCCACCCACCGGUGUGGUGUACUGCAGCUCUGCCGCCCUCCGAGAUCUGCGAGGACGCAACAACACACGCGCUGCAUUGGAAGCAUCCGCCACCGCCGAUGAGAUCCAUCGGUUGCAGCACCCCUCCCGGUAGCACCGGCGGCGUUCCAUCUGACGUGCUUGCAAUGGCAACCGCAGGGCAACACCGGCCGCGCCGGAGCUCAGGUGCUGCUACAGCGGAGCUUGGUGUUGUGCAGCUCUCCUCUGCUUGCAUCAAUGGCGGAGACACCAUGGUUUGCAGCAGGGGGGGUAGCACGCGUGGAGGGGCACAUAUGGCUAGCAUGGGAGGCGUUGGAGAAGAAGGUGAGAUGGAAGAUGGGGUGGUGGAGAGAAAGAGAGCGUUCAAGGGAUUGGGAUUGGGGGAGGAAGACGAAUAGAGGACGAGCGGGGAGCAAGACGAACAGAGGACGAGCGACUUCGGGAGAUAAGGGAAGGAAGUGGUGCGUGGGGCCGGACACGUGUUGUGCGUCCCGAGCGGUUUAAACAGCCAGAAAAUCAGCCAGUUGAAAAAUAACGUUUUGCAUUCUGUUCCCAUUCAGAACUGACAUGCGGCCAUCUUCUCUCUACCGUUACUCAAGGUGCAUGUGGGAAUGCCCUACAGACUGAUGAACAUGAAUCAUAGGAACCACCAAAGCAUGAAGGGAACAACCAGUAUGGAUUGGGAACAACAAGAUGAACUGGCUUUUGUUGGCACUCUUGCAUACAUUGAAGAUUUUGCGGCAUUUGGUUGCAUCUGAACUGACUUCUAUUUGAGCCAUAGAUUGAUGAGUGAUUUGUUGCAUUCUUCACUUGCACAAACUAUGUCUAUUUGAACCAACUUUGUUGUUCAAUGGUCUGAUUAAAUAUAGCUCUGGAAAGGAAUCAUAGCAGGCUUAGGGUAUCAUGGCCACAAAGAAUUAUUGUUAAUGGGAAGCUAUUUUAACUCUGGUCAGGAGCCGACAUUACUGCAAGUGCUUGCGCAGGCACAAGGUCUAUUUAAAUGGGGAUGCUUCUUUGGUCUAAUAGCAUGAGAGAUGAAAGUUUGAAGUGAAUUCUGUAGUAAUGUGUUUUAAAAUGAUACUUGUAAGUUCAAACGAAUGU